rfam:Ovis aries breed Texel chromosome 1, whole genome shotgun sequence.
UCCCUGGUAGCUCAGACGGUAAAGCGUCUGCCUACAAGGCAGGAGACCCGGGUUUGAUCCCUGGGUUGGGAA